rnacentral:misc_RNA from 1 species
UCCGGCUUAUCACCGGCGGUUUCUUUAGAGUGCCCAACUAAAUGAUGGCAACUAAAGACGAGGGUUGCGCUCGUUGCGGGACUUAACCCAACAUCUCACGACACGAGCUGACGACAGCCAUGCAGCACCUCCGCAGCGGCCCUUGCGGGCAGCGGCCUUUCAGCCGCCUUCCACUGCGCUUCGAGCCCAGGUAAGGUUCUUCGCGUUGCUUCGAAUUGAACCACAUGCUCCACCGCUUGUGCGGGCCCCCGUCAAUUCCUUUGAGUUUCAGCCUUGCGGCCGUACUCCCCAGGCGGGACACUUACUGCGUUAGCGACGGCACCGGGAGGGUCGCUCCCCCCGACGCCUAGUGUCCAUCGUUUACGGCGUGGACUAC